ACGGGAGGCAGCAGUGAGGAAUAUUGGUCAAUGGACGGAAGUCUGAACCAGCCAUGCCGCGUGAGGGAAGAAUGCCCUAUGGGUUGUAAACCUCUUUUGUUUUGGGAUAAUAAGCCCCAUGCGUGGGGUGAUGAAGGUACAAGACGAAUAAGCAUCGGCUAACUCCGUGCCAGCAGCCGCGGUAAUACGGAGGAUGCAAGCGUUAUCCGGAUUUAUUGGGUUUAAAGGGUGCGUAGGCGGAAGAGUAAGUCAGUGGUGAAAUACCCUCGCUCAACGAGGGGGCUGCCAUUGAUACUGCUUUUCUAGAGUGCGAACGGCGCCGGCGGAAUGUGUCAUGUAGCGGUGAAAUGCUUAGAGAUGACACAGAACACCGAUCGCGAAGGCAGCUGGCGAGCACGACACUGACGCUGAGGCACGAAGGUGCGGGGAUCAAACAGGAUUAGAUACCCUGGUA
rnacentral:rRNA from 1 species